rnacentral:sRNA from 1 species
UGUUAUUUCUAAAGUUCCCGCAAAAGUAGCGUAGCAAAUGAAAAUCGCAAUCUGAAGCGUGUUCGGUGUUAGUGUAGAGGAAUGUGUUAAUCAUUCCGGAGUAGAGCGGAGAAGAAGAGAAGAGCAGUGGGGAGAGAAGAAAAGGAAAAGAAUAAAAAAAAUAAUAAUGGAGUUGAAGUGAAGAAAAGUGAAAGUAUGCAAAAAUACUAAAGUCAUUUGAUGAAGUUCAAAGGAAUUUCUGGAGGAAAUCCGAAAAAUAAUAAUCCGCUGAAAAGAAAAGAAAAUUUAUGCCAUUUAAAAAUUUACAAAAGAAGAAAUAAAAUUAAAUAUUAAAUAAUGUCAAAGUGCUACAACCUUUGCAAGUGAGGUGGAGGGAAAGAAGAAAAAAGAAGAAAAAAAAAGAAUAUUGUGUAAAAGAUCGGACAUGCUUUGUCCUUGAAGUCAUUGUGAAAGUUGUGUCGCACACCAAGACACACACAUCCAAACGCACACAUGUAUAGUGUCUAAGAAAUUUAAGUGAAAAGUGAAAAAAGUAGUUCAUCUGUGCAAAAAAGAAAGCAUUUAGCCAGGCAAACGCAACAAGAAAUUCCCACAAGAGUAAUAGAAAACACAAGA